rnacentral:tmRNA from 1 species
GUUAUUCUUUCGUCCGGUAUUGUUCCGCCGUGAUGGGCUAAUUUAUAAAUGCUAACGAAAGUUACGCACUUGCAGCUUAAUUAAUUUAUUAAUUAAGUUACGGGGUUUGGGGCACCUGGCAACAGAACGCCCCUUAA